GUGAGUAAUAUUUUACUGUAUUUCUUAAAAAAAAAACAUUAGUGUGUGAUUGAAGUCAAGUGAGUGAGUGUAGAAUGUGAAAUCAAUCAUUUCAUAUCACGAGACAGUAAUAUGAUGAUGCCGCUGAUAAUGAUAUUAUAUUCUCAUAUGUAAAAAUAAUGUAUUGAUGCGGGUAUGGAUACGGUUGAGGAAGUUGAGAUUCCAAUUCCAUCUUCUUCAUCUUCAUCUUCAUCAUCAAUGGCGAAAAGACCUUGUCCAUCUCAAAACCCUAAAAUGGAGGUCGAAAAUCUCCUCGACGAGUUUCUCUCUCUUUCCGAUCGUCCUUCUCUCUCCCUCGAUCUCUCCCUAGAGAAUCUUCUCCAAUCAAUGCCUCCCGACUCCGAUCUCAUCGAUCGCGCUCUCAGAAUGGGUUCGCUCCUUCUCGAUGCCGCCAAACACUCCUCUCGCAAACGCUCUUCCAAUCAUAAUUCGAUUGUCUGGCCUUUUCCUCCCGAUCUCACCUUCAAGAUCUUCUCGAUGCUUGAUACUCAGAGCCUGUGCUAUGUAUCUGCUGCUUGUUCGUUUUUUAGCAAAUGUGCUAAAGAUCCUUUGUGCUAUCAGCAUAUUGAUUUGACAACACUUGUUCCUAAGGUUAACAAUGCAGUAGUUGCCACUAUGAUUCAGCGAGCUGGAAAGGCACUAAGGUCUCUUAAGCUUGGUGUUGUCCCUGCUACAGUCUGUUCUCCUGGAUUUUGUCAACCAUUGGUUUCUCCAGUUAGAAAAGCUAUGGUAGAGGCGCCUAACUUUUCAUGGAAUGAUAAGAGGUCUCGUCAAGGGAGAGAAUCUUCCAUUCUUACAAGAUGCUGUUUAAACCCUUUAAGCGCGGAGGGUGGUGCACCGGGUGCUCUUUUGAGAAAGUUACACCUGUACAACAUUGAGAGAAUGGACAACGCAUCUCUUUGUUGUGCAUUGUCAGCAUGCCCUUCUCUCCUUGAUCUGGAAAUUGUUGGAAUCCAUGUUGAACUGAGGCAAACUCUAAUGUCAGUAAGUGCAAACUGCCACUUGAUUGAGCGUUUGUUUUUCGAGUCUUCCAGAACAGGUAGAGAUGACAGCUUGAAAAUGCAAACCUGUUCUGAGCUAGUAAACAAUUGUCCUCAUCUAACUUCUUUAUCUCUACGAGGGUUUAAGCUACAUGAUUGUAAAGUUCGCAUACUGGUUAAGGGAUUUCGGAAACUGAAAUAUGUUGAUUUUUCAACAUCUUAUUCAAUCACUGGGAAUUUCUUAAGAAACCUUGGAAACUCCAACGGUGGGAAUUUGCUCGAGGUCUUAAUUUUAAGGGAUUGCAUGCAUCUCAAAGAGAUGGAAGUUGCUAGGAUGUUGGCAGCAAUUCUUGAAGGAGAUUUCAAAUUGCUUAUACAUCUUGACAUAUCCAAUAGGGAAGGCUUGGCAUGUGAGGCUGACUGGUAUCACAGGUGCUACAACUCUAGCAUUAUGCCUAUUAAGCAGGUUUUGGAAGCAAGGCCUGAUAUGCGUGUGGUGGCAGAAUAUCCAUCAGAAGGAAGCUAUGUCGAGACAUUUGAUACUGAUAUGAAUAGUGAUAUAAGUCUCUUAUCACAACUUAGCAGCCCCUUAUCAGAUGGAUCAAUUUUUAUGAGUACAUCUGAAGGAAGCUACAAUAGCGAUCAUGGUAGUGGAAAUGAGGAAGGACAAGAUGCGGUGAUUUAUGGGGAAAGUUCAGAUGAAGACAAUAUUCUGAGCCUGUAACCAAUCUUCAAUGCAUGGCAUUAAUUGAAAAGGACAACAAUAUAGUGAAGUUGGGGAGCAGUAGGAGAGGAAGGAUAUGCCGGCGUCGGACCCCGGAUUUUUCAGCUUUUGUUCCGGCCUUCACAGAUUCUGUUGAGGAUUGGGGUUUGGUAGCAAUUUUGUUAUUGGCCUUUGUUUCCAUAUUUGCAUAAUGUUAAGUAUAUGGCCGCCCCAUCCCGGUCUACCCAAAAAGAGAGCUGAUUUUUCCUCAGCAUUAUCAAUCCAUAUCAUAUGACAUGGAAGAUUUUGUUCUCUCUUUCCUUGGAUACUAGCUAUCUAACUUGCAAAAUAAAAUAUAAUAAACUAUAAUUUGUUCACAUUAUUAUGACAGAGCCAGGCAUGUCAUUUAUUUCGAACAAAAGAAAUGUGAACUGAUUUUUUUCAGGUAUAAUUGGUGGGUAAUGAAGUUUUGAUCCUGUGA